GUGGGGAAUAUUGGACAAUGGGCGCAAGCCUGAUCCAGCCAUGCCGCGUGAGUGAUGAAGGCCUUAGGGUUGUAAAGCUCUUUCAGUAGGGAAGAUAAUGACGGUACCUACAGAAGAAGCCCCGGCUAACUUCGUGCCAGCAGCCGCGGUAAUACGAAGGGGGCUAGCGUUGUUCGGAUUUACUGGGCGUAAAGCGCACGUAGGCGGAAUGUUAAGUCAGAGGUGAAAUCCUGGAGCUCAACUCCAGAACUGCCGUUGAUACUGGCAAGCUCGAGUCCGGAAGAGGUGAGUGGAACUCCUAGUGUAGAGGUGGAAUUCGUAGAUAUUAGGAAGAACACCAGUGGCGAAGGCGGCUCACUGGUCCGGUACUGACGCUGAGGUGCGAAAGCGUGGGGAGCAAACAGGAUUAGAAACCCGUGUAGUCC
rnacentral:rRNA from 1 species